rnacentral:lncRNA from 1 species
GGGAGUGAAUCAAGGAAGUUGGAGAGUGUGGGAGUACUAUACCGUUUGGGGAGUCUUGCUUGUGCAUUUUCGGCAUUUUGUGAGUUUUUUUAUGAUCGAUUUUCCUUUUGUCUUUUGGGGGUUUUGGAGUUUCUUUUUUUCUCUUAAGUGCCAAAAUAUUAACUGACCACUCUUGCAUUUUUAUUUUCUUUUCCUUUGCUUGCAAUUGACCAUUUCCUUAUUUCACUUUUGCACCAACAUCUGCUGAAGCCUCCACUCUUCUUUCUUUUUCUCUAAAGGCUGAACCUUUCCUUUCUCUCUCUUUUG